rnacentral:rRNA from 1 species
CGAGAGGAGAAGAAUCCAGACCAUCAGCUAAGGUCCCCAAAUAUAUGCUAAGUUGAAUUAACGAAGUCGAACUGCAGCGACAGCUAGGAUGUUGGCUUGGAAGCAGCCAUUCAUUUAAAGAGUGCGUAACAGCUCACUAGUCGAGCGGUUUGGCAUGGAUAAUAAUCGGGCAUAAGCAUAUUACCGAAGCUAUGGACUCAGAGAUGAGUGGUAGGGGAGCAUUCCAGUUCAGCGUAGAAGGCGUAAGGAUAACUUACUCUGGAGCGGCUGGAAAAGCAAAUGUAGGUAUAAGUAACGAUAAGGAGGGCGAGAAACCCUCCCGCCGGAAGACUAAGGAUUCCUGAUCAACGCUAAUCGGAUCAGGGUUAGUCGGGGCCUAAGGUAUAGCCAAAAGGCGAAGCCGAUGGAAGAACUGGUUAAUAUUCCAGUACUACUUUAUGGAGCUAAGUGGGGACGCAGAAGUGACAGUCCUGCCAACUGACGGAAUAGUUGGUUAAAGGGUGUAGAUAUUGAGGAAGCCAGGCAAAUCCGGUUUCUGAGUCGAACCUGAUAGUACCGAGAGUACUUGUACAAUCGGAUAUGGAUGUAAACAGACUGCCAAGAAAAUCCGCUACGCGUUAAUUCAUAAAGUACCCGUACCACAAACGGACACACGUGGUCAAGUAUAGCGUACUAAGGCGCUCGAGUGAUUCACAGCUAAGGAACUAGGCAAAAUAGUCAUGUAACUUCGGGAAAAAUGACGCCUCCCCGCGGGAGCGGGAGGCCGCAGAGAAAUGGCCCAGGCGACUGUUUAACAAAAACAUAGGGCUUUGCAAAAUCGAAAGAUGAAGUAUAAGGCCUGACACCUGCCCGGUGCUGGAAGGUUAAGAGGAGAGGUUAGUCGCAAGGCGAAGCUUUGAAUUGAAGCCCCAGUAAACGGCGGCCGUAACUAUAACGGUCCUAAGGUAGCGAAAUUCCUUGUCGGGUAAGUUCCGACCUGCACGAAUGGUGUAACGAUCUGGGCACUGUCUCAGCCAUGAGCUCGGUGAAAUUGUAGUAUCGGUGAAGAUGCCGAUUACCCGCAACGGGACGGAAAGACCCCGUGAACCUUUACUGCAACUUUACAUUGAAUUUGGGUAAUUGAUGUGUAGGAUAGGCCGGAGACUGUGAAGCAGGCACGCUAGUGUUUGUGGAGUCAUCCUUGAAAUACGGCCCUUUGAUUAUUUGGAUUCUAACUCCCUUAAAAGGGAGGACACUGUAUGGUGGGUAGUUUGACUGGGGUGGUCGCCUCCAAAAGAGUAACGGAGGCUUCUAAAGGUACCCUCAUGGCGAUUGGUAACCGCCAGCAGAGUGUAAUGGUAUAAGGGUGCUUGACUGUGAGACCGACGGGUCGAUCAGGUAGGAAACUAGAGCAUAGUGAUCCGGUGGUUCCGCAUGGAAGGGC